UGUGGUACUCCAGCUGUGGUACUGUUUGGUACUCCAGCUGUGGUACUCUGUGGUACUCCAGCUGUGGUACUGUGUGGUACUCCAGCUGUGGUACUGUUUGGUACUCCAGCUGUGGUACUGUUUGGUACUCCAGCUGCACUGCCACGGACAAAAAAGACCUAGAGCAGGUCAUGAAGACGUCCAAGAGGAUCACUGGAUUCCCCCCGACCAAAGCUGGAGCCACUCGAGCCGUCUCCUCAAACGGGCCACAGAUAUCUAACGGGUCCCUCACAUCCUGGGGACAACCUCUUCAGAACCAUCCCUUCAGGUACACUGAGAACCCCCAGUACACACACCAGUAUCGAGUGCAAAAACACAAUCCAACCUCGAGGAGCACUGUUCAGCCACAGUCCAGCAGCCUGAGACGCUGCCUUGCUCAGGGGCAGAGAAAGGAGCAGACCCUAAAUAAGCAUGUUUUUUUUUAUUGUGGGAGGACACGGAAGAACAUGGAAACUCCACACAGAAAGAGUGGGAAGUGAUCCCACAACCUUCUUGCUGUGAGGCACCGGUGCUAACCACUAAGCCACCGUGCCGCCCCUGUACUCUCACCCCAGGUCACUCAUUAACAGCUUCUAUUACCACAUGGGAGGGGGUCUACUUUGGAAAGUCUGCACCAAGUACUACCACGAGGAGUCACAUUCAAAACCGCCACUUAAAUCUUUACUCGGUUCUACUUACUGCUGCAGAACUUGGACCUGUCAAAGUGCGUAUGUGGGAAGAUAAUAAUCAGACUUCUUAGUGUGGGCACAGCCGAUGUCUACAAAGUUGGCAGUCCGGUCGAUGAGGGAAGUCACUGUUCUUGCUUUUAGCUUUAGCUUCAUAUUUCAGAGCAAAACGGUAAAUGAACCAAUUCCAUUUAUGCUUCCAAAGUCUCCGGGUGGAAUAAUGCCUUCACUGGCUUCAACCGGCUGGUUCACUCGCAGAAAUCGGACUGAGGGGGCUGACUGCGCCUCCUGCAACUGACCACACCCCCUGCACUCGGGGUUGGCCACGCCUCCUGCAAGGGUCAUGAGAUUAGGUCACGGGACACAGUCUGUGGACAGGAGCAGUGCAGCUCGCUGAAAUGUCGGUGACUUAUGGAAACAAAUCCACGCGUGGUUAUGGUCACACUGUGCAGAGUCGUACUGCGUCUCCUGUGUUCAGGUCUGUGCACCGAACCGUCCCGUGUGUACCGUACGCUUCAUUACAAAAUGCAGAAACUAUUACUACACUUAUUUCACACUUUAUGUUACAGCCUUAUUCCAAAAUGGCUGAAAUACAUUUUUUUCCUCAAAAUUCUACACACAACACCCCAUAAUGACAAUGUGAAAAAAGUUUUUUCUUUUUGGAAUAAGGCUGUAACAUAAGAUGUGGAAACAGUGAAGCGCUGUGACACCCUGACUGACAGUUUUUUGGGUUUCUCAAACAAGAUGGAAAAGGUGUUUGGAAAUGUUGUUUUAAAAACACUACGUUGAGCAUGUUGUAAUCGAUUCGCUGGUUUGUUACUGCGUCC